rnacentral:ncRNA from 22 species
CGUUUGCCGCGUGACUGGCGAAGGGCGCUUCGCGGCGCCCAAGGGUGAAACGACACCGUGGAGCGCGGCGCGGCCGGAUCCGUCCGGUCUCCUGCCGAUCGCCUGGGCGCUGGGG